UAAAAAAAAAUAUUAUGCAUUAAAAUUGAAAAUAAUUUUUUUUCAUUUCCUGAAUGCAAAUUAAAGUAAAAUGGCUGGAUUAUAAUUACUCCUAAUUUCAGGAAGAUUUAUUGCCUUAAAUUUUGAAAAAAAAGUGAGAAAGAAAGUUAUUCUCGAAAAACAAAAAUCCGAAACUUCUGCAUAUAUUAAAGAUUAAUGGAACAAAAAAAAAUAAACUUCUUGUUCUAAUUUAGAUACAAAAAUAGUUUUUCAUUUUUUUUAAAAAACACUAAUUGCAGUAUUUUUUUUUUAAAAAAUAAAAAAAGAAGCCCUAAAUUUUCCGAAUGAUCGAUUCCUAUAAAACUCGAAAUUAUAAUUGUAAGUCUGAAACGCAACCAAAAGUGCAUUCAAGAAACAGUUUCACUUUCACUUAUAUCCCACUCAAGCACUUAUCACGUGAUGAAAUCACGUGAUAAGAAAGAAAAUGACGGGAAUAUUUUUACCCGUUUCUUCCCGUGAUGUAACUAAAUAAAAAGAAAAAAGAAAGAAAAAAAUAUUCAUUUGAGAAAAAAAAAAAGACCUCUUGUAAGAAUUUCAUGGUUUUGUUUUCAUUAGUAACUCCAGACAGGAGCGAAGAAACUAUAAUAUUCACAAAUUCUAUUAAUUGUCACUACAAAUCUAAUUUAUGUCGGAAAUAACGUGAGGUCCAAGGAAGGAGAAUGAUUUGGGAACUACUUGAAGUUCUUAUAUGUAUCGUAAUAGUUGCUGCUUUCAUAUGGUGCAUAUGCAGAUGCUGUUGUAGGGGCAGUGGAAUAUGUUGCUGCAAAGAUAAUCUCGUCGUCAUUGUGUAGCAAAGGUGCUAUCGAAUAUUUAUAUCGAUAUAAUAUCGAUAUCAAUAUAGUAUCACUCAUCUAAUAAAGAUAAUCUCGUCGCCAUUGUGUAGCAAAGGUGCUAUCGAAUAUUUAUAUCGAUAUAAUAUCAAUCUCAAUAUAGUAUCACUCAUCUAAUAAAGAUAAUCUCGUCGUCAUUGUGUAGCAAAGGUGCUAUCGAAUAUUUAUAUCGAUAUAAUAUCAAUAUCAAUAUAGUAUCACUCAUCUAAUAAAUAUAUAUUCACUCUUUUAAGCUAUAAUGCUACAGAGGAAAUAAUUGCUUCUGUCACCACCAACAACGUAUAAGUCUUAUAAAGCGCUAAUAAAAUAUGAAUUUUCGGUGUAAGUUAGAUGCAUUUGAGUUAUAGUUAAAAUGUUGCAUUGGUAUCCAGUCUGCGAUCAAACUACUUAAUUUAAAAAAUUAAAAUGUAUCAAAAAAUGGCGUUACGUGAGUUGGUGCAAUUCUGACGGAGCGAUGUGUAAAUGCCAUCAGUAAUAUCACAACAAGAUUCAGGGUUGAGAUAUUCUGUGAAAACUAAAAACAUGUUGUAUGACUAUCUUAUCUGAGGCCAAACCCUUAAUUAUGAAUUUAAAAUGCAUAAAAAAAAUGGCGUUACAUGAGUUGAUGUAGUUCUGACGGAGCCAUGUGUAAAUAUCCUUAGUGAUAUCACAGCAAAUGCUGCAAUUAGAAUGAUGGGCACUUCUGUAAAGAAUUGGAUCUCAUUAUUUACUUAUAACUUGCAACUUUCAGAAUUGGCAUAUUUUGCGAGAACUAGUCUGAGACAAACGUCUGAGAGAGAGUCUGAGGCAAAAGCCCUAAAAAUUACGAACUUAAAAUGCUCCAAAAAAUGAUGUUACGUGAGUUGAUGUAAUUCUGACGGAGCAAUGUGCAAUGCCAGCAGUGAUAUCACAACAAGUGUCACAAUUAGUAUGAGAGACUCUUCCGAAAUGAAUUGAAUCUCUUCAUUUGCUUAGUAACUUGCUCUUUCAGGAUUGAGAUAUUCUAUGAAAACUAAAACAAUGUUGCAUGGUAAGUAGUCUGAGACCAAACCCCUAAAAAUUAUCUACUUAAAAUGCUCCAAAAAAUGAUGUUACGUAAGUUGAUGCAAUUCUGACGGACCGAUGUGUAAAUGCCAUCAGUGAUAUCACAACAAGCGUUACAAUUAGUAUGAGAGAUUCUUCCGAAAUUAAUUGAAUCUCUUUAUUUGUUUAGUAACUUGCUCUUUCAGGAUUGAGAUAUUCUGCGAGAACUAAAAACAUGUUGCAUAAGUAUCUUAAAUGAAGGCAAACCCCUAAAAUUGUGAACUUAAAAUGAAUCGAGGCAAUUCUGAUGAAGCAAUGUGUUAUUGCCCUCAGUGAUAUUACAACAAGUGUGACAGUUUUUUGAAUGUUAUUAUUGCAUUAUUAUUUAACACCGUUAUUGUCAGAGUCUCAUUCAUAGCAAGUAUAUAUACUAUAUUCGUGGUGCUAUAUUAUACUAUAAUCAUGGACACAACCCUGUAACUUUAAUUAACACAACAGCCAAUUGAUAAUGUAUAAAUAAUUUAAAUCAAUGAAACUUUUCUUAAAUUUU
rnacentral:lncRNA from 1 species